rnacentral:rRNA from 1 species
UACGAAGGGGGCUAGCGUUGUUCGGAAUCACUGGGCGUAAAGGGUGCGUAGGCGGGUCUUUAAGUCAGGGGUGAAAUCCUGGAGCUCAACUCCAGAACUGCCUUUGAUACUGAAGAUCUCGAGUCCGGGAGAGGUGAGUGGAACUGCGAGUGUAGAGGUGAAAUUCGUAGAUAUUCGCAAGAACACCAGUGGCGAAGGCGGCUCACUGGCCCGGUACUGACGCUGAGGCACGAAAGCGUGGGGAGCAAACAGG